UACGUAGGGUGCAAGCGUUGUCCGGAAUUAUUGGGCGUAAAGGGCUCGUAGGCGGUCCAUCGCGUCGGGAGUGAAAAGCUGGGGCUUAACCCCAGUCCUGCUUCCGAUACGGGUGGACUAGAGGUAGGCAGGGGAGAACGGAAUUCCUGGUGUAGCGGUGAAAUGCGCAGAUAUCAGGAGGAACACCGGUGGCGAAGGCGGUUCUCUGGGCCUUACCUGACGCUGAGACGCGAAAGCGUGGGGAGCGAACAGG
rnacentral:rRNA from 1 species